UCUCGUUUAUGCGUAGUGAAAUCGGCACUGAAAUUAUCUAGUUUUUUAUACAAAACCCGAAACAAGGUGAUCUAAUCAUGAACAAGCUGAAAAAAGAAAGGUAACUUUUUUUUGAGGGCUGUACUCGUGUAUGUGGCAAAAUACUGAGAUGAUUUGUGAUUAGGGGUGAAAGUCCAAUCAAACUUUGAGAUAGCUGGUUUUCUGCGAAAUCUAUUUUAGUAGAGUACUUAAUGCAACUUUUAAGGUAGAGUACUCUUUUAGAAAAGGGUUUUUUCUACUAAUUUUUUGGAAACUUCGAAUAUAGGUUAAUUUGUUUUAAGUAUACAGAUUUAGGGUGCUAAGAUUCUAAAUCAAAAGGGAAACAGCCCAAGAUUGAUCGUUAAGGGCCUUAAAAAUAUAUAAGUCAAAGGCCGUUAAAAACUAAAAACAUUCAGGAGGUAGGCUUGGAAGCAGUCAUCCUAUUAUGAAAGCGUAGUAGCUCACUGACCUAGGUUUUUCAUACCGAAAAUGUAAUGGGAUUAAAAAUAUUUUCCGAAGCGUCAAAAAUAUUUAUUUAUUAUGUAACCUCGUUCCGUGCGGUGUAUGUAAGCUAUCAUUGUUUUUUUACUUUAUCAGUCUGUUCAUAUUACUCACUAUGAACAUAUAUGAUAUAAUUGUAUUUGGUAGCAGAGUGUUCUGUAGGUUGUUAAAAUUAAGCUGUAAAGUUUUUUGUAAAUAUCAGAAGUAAGAAUGCUGAUAUGAGUAACGAAAAAGAGUGUUAUUUAAACAUUCUCACUGUAAAUCCAAGGUUUUCGAUGUUAAGUUAGGCUUCUUCGAAGAAAAAUUCAUCACAAAAAACGGCCCCUAAGAUAUCAGUGAAAACUGGUUUUAAUGGGUAACAGGUGUUCUGUUUUCAGGAAUGUGACAAAAAGUUAUAAAUAAAAGAUUUAUAUUUUAUUUGUUUUGUGCUGAAAAGUUAUUUUUGUGCUUAAUGCUUUUUUCAAGAAAAAGCAUUUUUUGUAAGGUACCGUACUCUAAUCUGACACAGGUGGUUGGGUUGAAUAAACUUAAGUGUAUAAGAGAAUUGCGCAAAAGGAACUCGGCAAAAAAACUCUGUAACUUCGGGACAAAGAGCAACUUUUUAUUCAAGGUAAUGACUUAAUUGUUGUCAUAUAAUCUUAAAAAGCGACUGUUUAACAAAAACACAGGUCACUGCAAAUUCGUAAGAAGACGUAUAGUGGCUGACGCCUGCCCGGUGUUGUAAGGUUAACUUUUAAUGUUUUAGCUUUGAAUUUAAGCCACAAUAAACGGCGGCUGUAACUCUGACGGUCUAAAGGUAGCGAAAUUCUUUGUCACCUAAUUAGUGACCUGCAUGAAUGGCGUAACGACUUUUUUACUGUCUCUUGCGCAAGCUUAGUGAAAUUGAAAUAACUGUGAAGAUACGGUUUUUUAAUAGCAAGACGAAAAGACCCUGGCACCUUUACUGCAGGUAUCUAUUGUAACUGUGUAUUUUUUGUAUAGAAUAAGUGGUAGUUUUUUAGGCUAAAACAUCUGUGAAAUACCACUCUUAAACUAUAUUUUUACUAACUUAAACUGGAGAGAACAGUGGGUAUUGGGUAGUUUGGCUGGGGCGGUCACCUUCCAAAUUGUAACGAAGGUGUGCAAAAGGCAAAUUCAAAGAUGCUUUUUUUUUGAUGAGUGCAAUAGCAAAAAUUUGCUUGACUGUAAGAAAUACAAUUCAAGCAGGGAUUUACGUCGGUUAUAGUGAUCUGAUGUUUUUUUAUGGAGAAAGCAUCACUUUUCGGAAAAAAGGUACGCCAGGGAUAACAGGCUAAUGAUUUUUUAGAGUUCUUAUCGACAAAAUUGUUUGGCACCUCGAUGUCGGCUUUUCACAUCCUGGAGCUGUAGUUGGUUCCAAGGGUUUGGUUGUUCGC
rnacentral:rRNA from 1 species